rnacentral:lncRNA from 1 species
CAGAAACGGCGCAUCCCUCACAAUAUCAUUCAUUAUUAUAAAAAAAAUUCACUUUCCCCUCUCAAACUUUUUCCACCUCCUUUGUUCUCUCAAACCCAAAUCUAGUAAUCUACUUCUCUCUCAUUUUUGCAGCACAUUCUCUCUCAUUAUUGUUUCUCGCCCAAUCUUGUCUGAUGUAUCAUAGAUUCCUAGUUUACAUUUGGGAAGGAAG